rnacentral:rRNA from 1 species
UUCCGGUUGAUCCUGCCGGACCUGACUGCUAUCGGAUUGAUACUAAGCCAUGUGAGUCUUUGCAGUAAUGCAAGGCAGACGGCUCAGUAACACGUAGUCAAUCUAACCUAUGGACAGGGAUAAUCUCGGGAAACUGAGCAUAAUACCUGAUAGAUCAUUAUGCCUGGAACGGUUAAUGGUUGAAAUGAAUUUCGCCAUAGGAUGGGACUGCGGCCUAUCAGCUUGUUGGUGAGGUAAAGGCCCACCAAGGCUAUUACAGGUACGGGCUCUGAGAGGAGAAGCCCGGAGAUGGGUACUGAGACACGGACCCAGGUCCUAUGGGGCGCAGCAGGCGAGAAAACUUUGCAAUGUGCGAAAGCACGACAAGGUUAAUCCGAGUGUUUCCUGCUAAAGGAAUCUUUUGUUAGUCGUAAAACCACUAUUGAAUAAGGGGUGGGCAAGUUCUGGUGUCAGCCGCCGCGGUAAAACCAGCACCUCAAGUGGUCAGGAGGUUUAUUGGGCCUAAAGCAUCCGUAGCCUGAUCUAUAAGUUUCCGGUUAAAUCCACAUGCUCAACAUUUGGGCUGCCGGAAAAACUGUAGAUCUAGGGAGUGGGAGAGGUAGACGGUACUCGGUAGGAAGGGGUAAAAUCCUUUGAUCUAUUGAUGACCACCAGUGGCGAAGGCGGUCUACCAGAACACGUUCGACGGUGAGGGAUGAAAGCUGGGGGAGCAAACCGGAUUAGAUACCCGGGUAGUCCCAGCUGUAAACGAUGCAGACUCGGUGAUGCAUUGGCUUGUGGCCAGUGCAGUGCCGCAGGGAAGCCGUUAAGUUUGCCGCCUGGGAAGUACGUACGCAAGUAUGAAACUUAAAGGAAUUGGCGGGGGAGCACCACAAGGGGUGAAGCCUGCGGUUCAAUUGGAGUCAACGCCGGG